UGGGCAAAAAAUUAAACGUAAAAAUAUGAUGGAUUAAUCUAAUUUCAAGUGGUAAUAGAUUUACAUCAGGUUUAAUGGUCGCACUUAUAUUGUCGUCAAAAAUAGUUCUAACACAUGAAGCAUAGUCUAAUACUAGAUGAUUCCAAACAGUACUACUAUUGAAAAAUUUAUCACCAUCUGAUGGAAUAUCCAAAAUUUGACAG
rnacentral:lncRNA from 1 species